rnacentral:rRNA from 1 species
CCUACGGGAGACAGCAGUGGGGAAUAUUGGACAAUGGGCGAAAGCCUGAUCCAGCCAUGCCGCGUGUGUGAAGAAGGCCUUCGGGUUGUAAAGCACUUUCAGUGGGGAAGAAAGCCUUGGGGCUAAUACCCUCGAGGAAGGACAUCACCCACAGAAGAAGCACCGGCUAACUCCGUGCCAGCAGCCGCGGUAAUACGGAGGGUGCGAGCGUUAAUCGGAAUUACUGGGCGUAAAGCGCGCGUAGGCGGUCUGAUAAGCCGGUUGUGAAAGCCCCGGGCUCAACCUGGGAACGGCAUCCGGAACUGUCAGGCUAGAGUGCAGGAGAGGAAGGUAGAAUUCCCGGUGUAGCGGUGAAAUGCGUAGAGAUCGGGAGGAAUACCAGUGGCGAAGGCGGCCUUCUGGACUGACACUGACGCUGAGGUGCGAAAGCGUGGGUAGCAAACAGGAUUAGAUACCCCGGUAGUC